CUGGAACGCGCCCCAGGCGCACCCAGAAACCCUUUGUGAACUUAUACCUUACUGUUGCCUCGGCGCAUGCCGGCCCCCCUGGGGGCCCCUCCUUCUGGAGGAGCAGGCACGCCGGCGGCCAACCUAACUCUUGUUUUUACACUGAAACUCUGAGAAUAAAACAUAAAUGAAUCAAAACUUUCAACAACGGAUCUCUUGGUUCUGGCAUCGAUGAAGAACGCAGCGAAAUGCGAUAAGUAAUGUGAAUUGCAGAAUUCAGUGAAUCAUCGAAUCUUUGAACGCACAUUGCGCCCUCUGGUAUUCCGGAGGGCAUGCCUGUUCGAGCGUCAUUUCAACCCUCAAGCCUGGCUUGGUGAUGGGGCACUGCCUGUAAAAGGGCAGGCCCUGAAAUUCAGUGGCGAGCUCGCCAGGACCCCGAGCGCAGUAGUUAAACCCUCGCUCUGGAAGGCCCUGGCGGUGCCCUGCCGUUAAACCCCCAACUUCUGAAAAU
rnacentral:rRNA from 6 species